UAAUACGUGGGGAGCGAGCGUUGUUCGGAUUUACUGGGCGUAAAGAGCACGUAGGCGGGUGAGUAAGUCGGUCGUGAAAUCCUCUGGCUUAACCAGAGAACUGCUGCCGAAACUACUCAUCUUGAGUCCAGCAGAGGGAAUCGGAAUCCUGGGUGUAGCGGUGAAAUGCGUAGAUAUCUAGGAGAACACCAGUGGCGAAGGCGGGUUCCUGGGCUGGUACUGACGCUGAGGUGCGAAAGUUAGGGGAGCAAACAGGAUUAGAUACCCUGGUAGUCCUAACCGUAAACGAUGGGCACUAGGUGUUGGAGGAUGUUGACCCCUUCAGUGCCGUAGCUAACGCAUUAAGUGCCCCGCCUGGGGAGUACGGUCGCAAGGCUG
rnacentral:rRNA from 1 species